rnacentral:misc_RNA from 1 species
UUGGAAGGUUCGGAUAGCGUGGUCAAUCAUGUUCGCCUGGCCGAAUAGGAUAACGGCAUGGGCCGCGAAUCGUUCGGAGGAGCGAAGGUCAGCGCGGGACGAGCGGAGAUCGUCGAGGAACUGCUGGAUGUAGGAGAAAUUGUUGGAUUUAGAAAGCUUGGAGAUUGCAACGGAGAAGGCGAUCCGAUCCAAGUGAGUUUCAGGUGUUAGAGAAGCUUGCCGGCAGAUUUCAACGAUCCUUUCUGGGUUUUGUUCGGAUUUUAGAAGAGAAAGCGCGACUCUGGUUUUCUCCUUGGAGGAGAGUGGGGUGGUGGAACCCGGAGAGAGGAUUGUGGAGAAGCAGCGCCUGUUUCCGGUCAGAAAGUGAAUUCGAAGACGAAAGAAUUAAGCCAUUUUCGGAAAAUGAAACGAUUUGACAGUGACUAGGGUUUUCAGUCGAGUAGGAGAUCUAAAACCACUGAAUGAGGAAGAAAAG